rnacentral:rRNA from 1 species
CGACGGGGAGGUUUGGCACCUCGAUGUCGGCUCAUCACAUCCUGGGGCUGUAGUAGGUCCCAAGGGUUGGGCUGUUCGCCCAUUAAAGUGGUACGCGGGCUGGGUUCAGAACGUCGUGGGACAGUUCGGUCCCUAUCCGUCGCAGGCGUAGGAAAUUUGAGAAGACCUGUCCGUAGUACGAGAGGACCGGGAUGGACGUACCUCUGGUGUACCAGUUGUUCUGCCAAGGGCAUGGCUGGGUAGCUA